UACGUAGGUGGCAAGCGUUGUCCGGAUUUACUGGGCGUAAAGGGCGUGCAGGCGGUUUGUUAAGUCUAGGGUGAAAGCUCCCGGCUCAACUGGGAGAGGUCCUUGGAUACUGGCGAACUUGAGGGAUGCAGAGGAAAGUGGAAUUCCCGGUGUAGAGGUGAAAUUCGUAGAUAUUGGGUGGAACACCGGUGGCGAAGGCGGCUCACUGUGCCGGUUCUGGACGCUGAGGCGCGAAAGCGUGGGGAGCAAACAGG
rnacentral:rRNA from 1 species